rnacentral:rRNA from 1 species
UACGUAGGGUGCAAGCGUUGUCCGGAAUUAUUGGGCGUAAAGAGCUCGUAGGCGGUCUGUCGCGUCUGCUGUGAAAAACUCAGGGGCUUAACCCCUGAGCUUGCAGUGGGGUACGGGCAGACUAGAGUGCGGUAGGGGGAGACUGGAAUUCCUGGUGUAGCGGUGAAAUGCGCAGAUAUCAGGAGGAACACCGGUGGCGAAGGCGGGGUCUCUGGG